GAUGAACGCUGGCGGCGUGCCUAAUACAUGCAAGUCGAGCGAACAGACGAGGAGCUUGCUCCUCUGACGUUAGCGGCGGACGGGUGAGUAACACGUGGAUAACCUACCUAUAAGACUGGGAUAACUUCGGGAAACCGGAGCUAAUACCGGAUAAUAUAUUGAACCGCAUGGUUCAAUAGUGAAAGACGGUUUUGCUGUCACUUAUAGAUGGAUCCGCGCCGCAUUAGCUAGUUGGAAGGUAACGGCUUACCAAGGCAACGAUGCGUAGCCGACCUGAGAGGGUGAUCGGCCACACUGGAACUGAGACACGGUCCAGACUCCUACGGGAGGCAGCAGUAGGGAAUCUUCCGCAAUGGGCGAAAGCCUGACGGAGCAACGCCGCGUGAGUGAUGAAGGUCUUCGGAUCGUAAAACUCUGUUAUUAGGGAAGAACAAAUGUGUAAGUAACUAUGCACGUCUUGACGGUACCUAAUCAGAAAGCCACGGCUAACUACGUG
rnacentral:rRNA from 1 species